UCUCUCCAGGACUCUAGAGGGCAGAAUGAUGAACGCGGGUCAGACUCGGAGGCGCUGAACGAUGAAGAAGAGCGAGCCGUGCUCCGAGACAGAGCUCACGUGGAAACUAAUGUAAUGUGUUUUUGUGUUGAGACCCAGAGUACUCCUGAGAGAAGAUGACAGAUGUUUUCAGCAGCAGCUGUGAGGCAGUGCUCCAGCGGACCAUCAGUGUGUCCUUCAUCUCAAGGAGCAGUCAUGUUGGGAAUCUGUAUCAGAUAGAUGAGACCUGCCAAUUUAUCACUAGUAAUCAGUUCAAGAAGGUAGCCUUACAGUUUCCAGAUGAACUUCUGCCUGAUGCCAUCCGAGUCUCGGCCGAAAUAGAGAAGCAAACCAAAGCCAAGACAUUCAUUUUAGGAGACACGUCCUAUGGCAGGUGUUGUGUGGAUGAGGUAGCAGCAGAACAUGUGAGAGCAGACUGCAUAGUGCAUUAUGGGCCGUCAUGCCUCAGCCCAUGCAGAAGACUACCGCUUCUGUAUGUUUUUGGAAAGAAACCGAUUGAUGUCCAGCAGUGUGCCACAGCCUUUAAAGAGCUUUAUCCUGACCUCCAAAGUCAUGUGAUCAUACUGUAUGAUGUCACCUAUACACAUGCUAUAGGUGAUCUCAGGACACUUUUGUGUGAUAUCUACCCCAAUGUUGUGGUCUCCCUUCUAAAAACAGAUCAUUCUUGCGUUGCUGAGCUGAAACAGGACAGCUGUGUGGACACUGAUCACAUAGAUUCACAGGAUGAUAGAGUCAUUUCUAAAUUUGGCAGACAGUUCAGUGUAAAAGCGGGGCAGAGUGUUGAUAAUUACGGUAUGUUUUACAUUGGCCAGGAAGGCCUGACUCUUACAAACUUCAUGAUGACCUGGAACCACUGUGCCUUCAGCUCAUUCAAUCCAGAAACACACAAAGGACGAGUGGAAUCAGUUAAAAUCAACAAGGCACUGAUGAAACGCUAUUAUGCCAUCGAGCGGGCCAAAGAUGCCAGUGUGGUGGGCAUUUUGGUGGGCACCCUGGGUGUCGCCAACUAUCUGACCAUCAUAGAGCAGCUGAAAGACAUUAUUCACAAAGCAGGAAAGAAGAGCUAUAUGUUCGCUAUGGGAAAGAUAAAUGUUCCCAAGCUUGCUAACUUCUUGGAAAUUGACGUUUACGUGCUAGUUGCCUGUCCCGAGAACUCACUGCUGGAUUCAAGUGAAUUCUACAAACCCGUGGUGACUCCCUUUGAGAUGGAGUUGGCUUGCAAUAAGCACAGAGAGUGGACUGGAGAAUAUGUGACAGACUUCAGAGAUUUACUCCCUGGUGGAAGCAGUUAUGUGGGCUUCCCUGAACCAGACCAGUCUGCCGUGGAGGAAGAGACCACAGAUGUCUCUCUAAUCACAGGAGCUUUGCGAACAUGUUCCACAACCUCAACAGAGAUCUUAAAAAGCACAUCAGAGUCUUCUUCACUCGUCCCCAGAAAUCAGACUCUCACUGUGGCCAAUACAAACACAGCAGCAUCGUUUUUGUCGGGCCGUAGUUGGCAGGGACUGGAGCCUAAACUGGGGCAGACACCAGUGAUGAAAGCUGUGCAAGGACAGAGAGGCAUUGCUAUCGCUUAUGAGGAGGAGGGUGUGGGAAAUAAAGAUGCUUCAACACCUCUUCAAAAAUCAUAAAAGUCCUUUAUUGUUGGAAAUCAUCAAAGGACUACUUCCACACUUGCAGCAUAUGAAUUGCAUCAAUAUAUUGAAAAGGAUGUAAUUGUCUGCGAUAAUACAGAAUAUCUUUUGGGAACAUGUAGGAAGGUAAAUUCAUAUUUGUUAAAUAUAAGAAUGUUAAGUUCUGUUGUGCUACCAAUGGUAGCAAAUUAUAGAAAGAGAAUAUUGGAAACAAUGUACAUUAUUUCAAAAGUGAUUUAUAAUGUUUAAUGUCAAACAGAAUAAAACUAAUUCUCCUGACUUAAAAAA